rnacentral:rRNA from 1 species
UUUCCUACGGGGCGCAGCAGUAGGGAAUCUUCGGCAAUGGACGAAAGCCUGACCCAGCAACGCCGCGUGAAGGAAGAAGGCCCUCGGGUUGUAAACUUCUUUUAUUCGGAACGAAACAAAUGACGGUACCGAAUGAAUAAGCCACGGCUAACUACGUGCCAGCAGCCGCGGUAAUACGUAGGUGGCAAGCGUUAUCCGGAUUUACUGGGUGUAAAGGGCGUGUAGGCGGGAGAGCAAGUCAGACGUGAAAUUCCAGGGCUCAACCCCGGAACUGCGUUUGAAACUGUUCUUCUUGAGUGAUGGAG